rnacentral:lncRNA from 1 species
CUGUCAAUCAUGUCUGACUCUUGACUGAUCAGCUCUUUUGCUGAAUACAGAGAACCCCUCAGCGCCUAGCUGUUUGGGGCAGUUGGGCUGGAAUCCUAGAAAUUGGCACGCGGAGGCAGGAGGAGGAUCUUUGGCUGCGUAAUGAGGUGGAGGGCAGUCUGGGAUACACGAAACCGUGCCUCAAAACACGCAAAACCAAAACGAAAGCAAUCUGUGGCUGGGCCCAGGCUCUGCGAUGCCGGGUUCCUGAGAGGUGGUGGCAGGAGGAUCAGAAGUUCAAGAUUAUUCUCAGCUGCAUAUGGAAUUUAAGGCUGGUCUGGGCUAGAGAUCAUAUCUCAGAAGAGAAAAGGAAAGGAAAGAGAAGAAAAGAAAAGAAAAGAAAAGAAAAGAAGGGCUGUAGGGAGCCGUCCCUGCAUUCUCCAUUACAAUGAUGGUGCCUGCAGGCACUGAAUGUAAAUUAUUGCGCAGGCGCUGGGUAAUUUUCCAUUUCCUUGAUCUCUGCCUAUUCCGUGGCUCAUAUGGCCUGAGGAGCUGAAGCCCAGGCAGCGGCUGCCAGCCUUUAUUAGGGGACGGGAUUCUUGGCUCGGGGUCUUCGCUCUGGUAAGCUUAUGCUCUCCUCUCAAGACGCAUUAAAGCUUUCCUGCAGAAGGAUCCGAAUGUCCUGUGUGGUUCUUGCUGGUGAGGCCAUAGCGCGGGACAUCUGGUGCCGAAACCCGGGACCUUGUUAAUAUCGCCGGCACCGCGGAGACCCCUUGGCUACAAGGCGGAUUCAGAACUUCGCCUCCCAGUGGGAGGUUGAGGGAGGAAAAUGAAAGUUUGAGGCCAACCUGGUCUACAGAGUGAGACCCUGACUCAAGAAGAAAAGUUGUUAAGUUUGGGGCUGGGGAGGUAGCUAGCAUAGCAUGCAUGAAGUCUGGGCUUCAGUUCUUAGCAUUGCAUAAACUGGGAAUAAUGGUACAUGUCUGUAAUUUCAGUUCCUGAGAGGUGGUGGCAGGAGGAUCAGAAGUUCAAGAUUAUUCUCAGCUGCAUAUGGAAUUUAAGGCUGGUCUGGGCUAGAGAUCAUAUCUCAGAAGAGAAAAGGAAAGGAAAGAGAAGAAAAGAAAAGAAAAGAAAAGAAAAG